ensembl:processed_transcript
UGGUGAUGGUGCGCUGCGUGAGGCUUGUGCUCACUGGGGGAGCCCAUCCUGUUUAAGGCAGCAGACUACGUCUGAAGUGACCCCAGGUGGUGUUUUACCAAAGGAGCAUACAUAAUAGUCACAACCAAAAUAGGGAAGGAGAGUUGAGAUGUGGUCCCCUUGCGUGCUGAAAAGAACAGAAAAAGCAACAUGACAACAAAGGACACUGGCUUGGGAAGAUGUCACAAGACCGUGUGCUGCUCUCAGAGGGGCACCCUGUCCUUGGACCUCCCUCACUCAAGGGUGCUAACCUGGAGGAACACCAGGGCCCUGUGACAAAGCCACCAGUUCUCCGCCUCCAGGCCUCGAGACCAAGCCUGCUCCUGAGAGACUCAGCCGAUGACCCGGAAUAGGACACAAGGCUCCAUUCUUUUGUUUAAAGCAAGUGGCACAUGGUCUACUCAUGAACUGCCAGGGACAGAAAGAUUGUCUCUAAAGCAGGGGACAGUGUCCCUCGGGGUUGGAGGUCUUCUGGGGAUGGUCCGGAUGUGCUUUACAAAACCCAUCUCAGAUAUGGGUGUCUACUGUCAAAAGAAUACACUGUCACGGACCAAUCACAGACAGAAUUUAUUCAUGGUCACCACUGCUGCUCGGGAGACUCAGGACAAGGACAAGGAAUUCAUUUUUAUGUCCUUUGGCAGCAGUGGGGACCUUCAGCUUGGGGACCACCUAAAGAGUAGAAUGAAAGAAUAGUGUAUGCAAGAGAUACAGGGAACACUGUCAGCAACAUGUGUCUGUGAGAGGCAGGAAGACUUUUCACGUCUUAAAUCCAGGUCUUCUGCAAGAUGCCCUGAGCCGUCUUUCCAGCCCCUAACCUAACCUAACAGGUACUAUUCUGUGGAUCUUAGCACAACCACCAUGCCAUCAGACAUCCCUUUAACAAUGGUUGUGAGCCUAUCUGAGGAGGCAGGGACAGCUGUCUGAGGGAGGAAGGAAGGGAGCCUGCUAGCAGGUUCCAGGGCUUUGAGGAGGGCCUCAAAGGAUCUGGUGGGAAGAGUAGGUUCCAGGGCUUGGAGGUGCAGUGUGGGGGCAGAAAGACAGUGUGGGGCUCAAGGAGCACACCCAUUCUGCAUAUGAGUGAUCCCUGAGUGAGAGAAAAGUGGAAGGAAGAUGACACUAGGUGAAACCCAAGAGCCCUUAACAUCUACAGAGGUCUGGAGGAGGAGGAGGAGGAGGAGGAGGAGGAGCAGGAGGCUGCUGAAGCGUCCAUGUAAGGCCAGAGGAAGGCCCCUUAUGGCCAGGACUUCUCUCUCUGCUGGCCUGAGACACUGGAGGGCUGGGGCUGUCAGUGUAUGGACAUGACCUCAGACCUUAAUGAGGCUUAGUUACUUUCCAUUAAUGGCUGGCUCUUUCUUUUCCAUCCGCCUAGAUGUAUUGGGAUGACAUCGGAAUUCAAACUUUCUCUGAGCAGAAGUGUACUCUGAGAUCCCAGUGACCCCAGUAUCCAGAAGAGGGCUCCCCAGGCUCCUUGAUGACCCCCUGCAAACCACACCCUCUGUGGACGAGAGGCACACUGGUCAGGAGACAUCUGGACUGUGUCUUCCCUUUCCAUGGUCUGAGUAUCUGGGGUGCAGGAAUUCCUCCUCUGCUGCCUGUGAGCCUGAUUCUCCCAUGGCCACCUUGUGGGCCUGCAUUUCUAGCCCAAUGCCCUUGUGCUCAGCUUUUGUGUUGAAAGGCCUGGGGGAUGCUUGCCUGGGUCAGUGUAGUCACAAUCUGGGUGACUAUGUUUUGUUGAAAAUCCUAAGUUAGCCUGGGCGGGGAUGGCAGGCAGGCUUCUCAGUGUCUGGUAUGAGUCCCGGGAGUCCAGCCAACCCUGCAGCUCAUGAGUAGAGUGCAUUCGUUAAUAGAAUUUUCUUUUACCAAUUCAUUUAGUCUUCAAUUAGCAUAUAAAAUGACGGAUCGCAGGUCGAAUUUCAUAAUGCUUCCCUCUUGGCUAUUCUCCUUCCCGACUCUGCCUGCCUCAAACACUUCCUCCUUUUGGUGGUCAGUCACCCUUGGGAAGUCCUGGUUCCCUUGUUCCCUCCCUUGGGGCUUGAGAGAUGAUGGUUCUGUGGCUAAGAACCAUUGCGUCUCCAUCAGAAGGCCCUGUUCAUAGCUGCCUGCGACUCCCAUCUCUAGGGGAUACAAGGCACUCCCUUGGCCUCCACGGGCAGUCCUUCCCCCCAGCACCUCACACACCCUGCAUAUCAAAAUAAAUCUUUAAAAAAAUCGUAUUUUUAAAGCAAAAAUCCUUCCAAAGUAUUUCAUAUUGUUUUACUCUUAGACAUUUUCAUGUUUAUAUAAUGUACUUUGAUCAUAGCCAUCCACCGUUUUCUCCUUCCAGCUCCCCCUGCUGGCUCAGUUUUUCACUUUACAGCAAGCAGCGGCUUCUCACCCAGUCAUGUGAUGGGCUGAUCUGUAGGUUUGAUGUGUUUUCUUCUCUUUGGAACCUCAACUGUAACUGGAACGCAGGAGUGCCCCCCCCCCACUCCACAUAUGUUCAUACAUGUAUAUUUGUUUGCACAUGUAUAUCCAUGCACAUGAGGGAUGAAUCCUCCCUACUUCCACCUAGGAAUUGAGUGCCAGAGUUCACACGCUGACAAAGCUCUCUCAGAGGCUGAGAUCUCUAGAACCUUCUAGAAGUCAUCUGGUCUUAGGUUUGGAUUCCAUCUUCCCAGAUUACCCUGGCCAACCAUAAGAUGAUACGUUUCAUGACAACGGCUACAGCAUCAGCUGCUAUUCCUUGCACUGACCCACUGCCACCUCCAAUAUAACCACCUUCAAAACCGUUGCCACCAUCAUUACAAAUCCCCUCAUCAACACCAUCUUCAUACAAUCAUUGACUCAGCAAACACUUGCUGUACAUCUCUCUCAGGCCUGUGGUAUACAUAUCAGGACGAAACAGUCUCCUGAGAACUUAGACUUCAGGCGCUAAAGUGACAUGAAACCAUAAGAAGGAAAUUAUCAAAAACGCUAGGAUUUGAUAUGUACUACGGAAAGGAAGCAGAGAGUGGUAAAGACUGGAGGGCGGGGCCAGUGGCAGGCUACAGUUUCCUAUAGCAUGGUCAGCGGCAAAGACUGAGUCAAGAUCAGAAAGUGAGGGAUUUGACAAUACUCUCAUCGUUCUUACUGAAUGAUUAUUAUUGUGUGAUUUUUUUUAAUACACAAAACACUUAAUAAUAAAAACAGUUUGGGAAGAGUCUGAAAUGGCAAGGACAGAUCUCCUUCAACUUAAGGUCUAACACUUCAUGAUGCUUUGGAGGAUCCUUGCUGGGUUUCUUUCACAAUGCUGCCCCUCAGUGUUCAGUGCAAGUAGUGCAGGAUCAGGAAUUCAAGAGCUUACUGUGAUGUGAGUCCCAAUUUCUCACCCAGAUAUUAGCAAACCAUAUUAAAGUUCUUAAAUAUACAAAAAUAUUAUGAAAUAAAUAUGUUUUAAAUUUCAAAUCCUCACAAGGGUGAAGCCAAAUUAAAAGGCACAGAUUCGCCUAAAAUUUCCACAAUUUGUAAAAAUAUAAAUAAAAUAAAAUGUAUUAAUUAUAUC